GGAUCCUUUCUUGAGGUAGGCCAAUUUACUUUUUUCUUCCUUUCGCUUCUUUACUUAGCUUAUUCCUUAGCUUUUAUAUUGACUUCUUGGCCGUUCUUGCAGAUUGGACACUAGCUUAUCGCCAAUAUCGAGGCGAUGAAUAACAUCAAGAAAGAAGCAGCCCAGGUGGAGGAAGGUCGCCAGGCUGAAGCUGCCCGUCUCAAGGAGAAGGUCACCGAAGUUGCGAGUCUCCGAGAGGCGCUGCAGAAGGAGGGACAAACCUCAAC
rnacentral:lncRNA from 1 species